GAUCAUGAUCCGCGCAUUCACUUUUGAAAGCUGUCAUACAAUCCCUGCUUUCUUACAAUCCCCAAAUCUCAUUUCAAAAUUCAAAUCCACAGCUCCCUUCCCUUUUCAUUCUCUCUCCGAUUUUGGAUCUGGAUCUGCUUUGUCUUUGCCUUGCGUUCACCAUAAGCCAGUACUCCAUGGCUAUUCGAGACACCUUCUCUCAGAUGGUUAACAUUGUGGGGGAUGGGGAUGACUAUUUCAGACACCUUCCUCCUGAUGUAACAUGUUAGAGACACCUUAGUCGCCGCAUUUUCGCUUCAAUUCAGCAUAGCUGGUGCUCCAAACGAAUUUCACUCACAACAGUCAUGCAUGAUAUUGGUAACAGGAGGCACAUCCAGAAUGCAGUUUACGGGUUCCUGCAAUUGUGACUGCUCUCGAGAAGGUGGAGCUCACACCUAAGUUUCGAGGAUCUGAGAUCAUUCAACUUCAAGAUUUUAGAACUGCUAUUCGAAGAUAUUGCAAGUGUGCAUUCCAGAUCUUAUGUUUUUGGCCUUGAGAAGACUGAUAAGGCAUCAAAAUUGGAUGAAGCAAUUGAAUAUAUGAAGCAGCUUCAGCUCAGAGUACAGAUGUUAACUAUGAGGAACGGGAUGAAUUUAUAUUCAAUGUUUGUACCACCCGCAUUUGAUCAGUUCGGGAUCUUCGUGUUCUUUCAGGGAAUCUUUGAUGAAUGGUGGUGGAAAUGAGGGGGGUCAGCUAAUGAAUUCACAUCAGAAAUUGGUUCUUCCGGUUGAUAUGGACGGGUAAGCUUCUAUUGGGCCCAGUUGAUAAAUGGUGUUUGCGUGUUUGCUUUUGGUUAUUGGUGCAAUCAUGACCCGUUCUUCAAAUAAUGAGUUAAUUUGGGGAAAAAUUGUAUACGGGUUCAUGUUGGUAAAGAUGGAAUGCUAUUGGAAGCUUUUCCUACCCGAAGAGUUCAUUUUGGUAAAAAUUGUAUACGGGGAAAAAUUGUCGCCACCACCGCUUCUCAUCUCCACCACCGGUCUCAAUCACCACCAUUGAAGAGUUCUAGAGGAGCAAUACAACUUGGGUUACCAACAUGUGCCAGACGCUAGAAGAUAUAUGCCCCGAUAUUGAUAAACUUGUAGGCAAGGUUUAAUGUCGCUAAAACCGCCAUUUUACCGAGAGAUUCAGGAAUUGGACUGGAGAUCCGGUUUAACGAGAGAUCUAGAUCUAAGAGACGGAAGAUGUAGGAUAUCGUGUAUGGAAUCUGACCGUAGAUCCGGUUUCCGGACAAUAAAGCACGGCUGAGCAUCCGAAGCUUCCCGAAGUUUAUAGGCUGAGGAUAUGACAGGAUCUCUACUAAAAGAGUACUUAAUAAAGGAACCAGAUGGCAAUAUUCGUAAUAAAGAAGAAACAGGUGCACCUGUAGACAAAUCACUAGAUGCUGAAGAUUGAAAGAUGCAUCAUUUUGAUAAUGUUGUCAUUGUGGAACCCGCCUCAUUCUGGACUUCAUCCCACUUUGAGUAAUGAUUUUCAGUCAUAUACAUCUGUUUAUAAGUUGGUUUUUGUUUAAGGUUAAUUUUAGGUGACACAAUUGACGCGUAGGACACCAGAUUAUUUCUUAUGAUGCUGAAUUGACAUUUUUCAUGAGACCAACAUGCGACUAACCACUCAUGGAGAAUAAUGCCGGAGUUAAUUUUCUGGACAAAAUCAGUAUGGUCAUUGACAGCUCUACACUAUGCGAUUACAUUUAUAUUGUGUGAUUUCAGUAGGAUAAGGUCAUGUUGUCAUAGUAGAAUUCUUUACAUUUGUUUUAACUGUUGUAAUAUGAUAAUUUAUAUGGUUAAACUAGAGGUGUAUUCGAUUGGUUUUGGGUGCUAGCUGGACCGAAAUGUUUGGUUAUCGGGUUUUUAACUAUUGCAAAUAAAUCAAGAUUUUUGCC